rnacentral:lncRNA from 1 species
GUACAUCAAUUAUUACUUCUCUCAACUGUAAACCAGCAUUAGAAGAUGUGAUAUUUGUGCUUUGUAAUCCAUCAACUGCUUUAUCUUUUACUGUAUUUUAGGGGAUUUAAUUAUCCAAGCUAAAAGAAAUGUUAGGAAAUGGAAAAUUCAUAGUGUAUUUUUGAAUCUUUGAAGUGCGAGUUCGUGCCCAUGGUGCUUGUUCUAGAUCUUAAACCUGCCUUCUUUCCUUCCACAUUCAUUCUUCGGUUCCAAAUUUGAGUUUGAUACAUGUCCAUCUCAAGUAAUGCUAGAUGUGAUGAACUUUCCCCCCUUCCCUCGAUGUCCUUGUAUAAUAAAUCUGUUUCCACAUAGCAUUCAACGAGCCGUGUGCUUCAAGGCUGUGUAUUGGUUAACUUAUCAGCUAAGAGCAAUGAUGUCUUUGAACGUGGCAUGUACAAUUGCCUUUCUUUUUUUCAAAAGAGAAUCAAAUUUAACAGCCAGGUUGCUGUUAAUUUUCUGGUGUUUUCUUGUCCAAAUCAGUGAUUUAUCUUAAAUCAAAUACAAAACCUCUGUGACGAAUCAUUUGUUUGGUUGAUGUGUUUCUGAAGGAUGCCUGAUAGUUGUUAUUUUGUACACUUGCUAUAUAUUAUCAUCAACAUUCAAGGGAUCUAAAUUGGAAACUUAGGUAAUGAUAUAGCAGGGGACCGGUGGUCAUCACAUAUUCUCUGGUCUGUCCUCUACAUGCUACUACUUUUCUCUGCUUCAGGCCCUUGAUAUUUGAGUGCCUCUAGUUCGUUGGGGAAAUCAAGAAUUCAUUCCAACAUGCAAUAAGUACAUCAAUUAUUACUUCUCUCAACUGUAAACCAGCAUUAGAAGAUGUGAUAUUUGUGCUUUGUAAUCCAUCAACUGCUUUAUCUUUUACUGUAUUUUAGGGGAUUUAAUUAUCCAAGCUAAAAGAAAUGUUAGGAAAUGGAAAAUUCAUAGUGUAUUUUUGAAUCUUUGAAGUGCUUGUUCGUGCCCAUGGUGCUUGUUCUAGAUCUUAAACCUGCCUUCUUUCCUUCCACAUUCAUUCUUCGGUUCCAAAUUUGAGUUUGAUACAUGUCCAUCUCAAGUAAUGCUAGAUGUGAUGAACUUUCCCCCCUUCCCUCGAUGUCCUUGUAUAAUAAAUCUGUUUCCACAUAGCAUUCAACGAGCCGUGUGCUUCAAGGCUGUGUAUUGGUUAACUUAUCAGCUAAGAGAAAUGAUGUCUUUGAACGUGGCAUGUACAAUUGCCUUUCUUUUUUUCAAAAGAGAAUCAAAUUUAACAGCCAGGUUGCUGUUAAUUUUCUGGUGUUUUCUUGUCCAAAUCAGUGAUUUAUCUUAAAUCAAAUACAAAACCUCUGUGACGAAUCAUUUGUUUGGUUGAUGUGUUUCUGAAGGAUGCCUGAUAGUUGUUAUUUUGUACACUUGCUAUAUAUUAUCAUCAACAUUCAAGGGAUCUAAAUUGGAAACUUAGGUAAUGAUAUAGCAGGGGACCGGUGGUCAUCACAUAUUCUCUGGUCUGUCCUCU